rnacentral:rRNA from 1 species
UGGGGAAUUUUGCACAAUGGGGGAAACCCUGAUGCAGCGACGCCGCGUGAUUUAGAAGGCCUUCGGGUUUUAAAAAUCUUUUCUAUGGGAAGAAAAUGACAGUACCAUAGGAAUAAGGACCGGCUAAUUACGGGCCAGCAGCCGCGGUAAUACGUAAGGUCCGAGCGUUGUCCGGAAUCAUUGGGGGUAAAGGGUACGUAGGCGGGUAAGCAAGUUAGAAGUGAAAUCCUAUAGCUCAACUAUAGUAAGCUUUUAAAACUGCUCAUCUUGAGGUAUGGAAGGGAAAGUGGAAUUCCUAGUGUAGCGGUGAAAUGCGCAGAUAUUAGGAGGAAUACCGGUGGCGAAGGCGACUUUCUGGCCAUAACCUGACGCUGAGGUACGAAAGCGUGGGUAGCAAACAGG